UGGGGAAUUUUGGGACAAUGGGGGAAACCCUGAUCCAGCCAUCCCGCGUGUGCGAUGAAGGCCUUCGGGUUGUAAAGCACUUUUGGCAGGAAAGAAACGUCGCGGGUUAAUACCCCGCGAAACUGACGGUACCUGCAGAAUAAGCACCGGCUAACUACGUGCCAGCAGCCGCGGUAAUACGUAGGGUGCAAGCGUUAAUCGGAAUUACUGGGCGUAAAGCGUGCGCAGGCGGUUCGGAAAGAAAGAUGUGAAAUCCCAGAGCUUAACUUUUGGAACUGCAUUUUUAACUACCGGGCUAGAGUGUGUCAGAGGGAGGUGGAAUUCCGCGUGUAGCAGUGAAAUGCGUAGAUAUGCGGAGGAACACCGGUGGCGAAGGCAGCCUCCUGGGAUAACACUGACGCUCAUGCACGAAAGCGUGGGGAGCAAAACAGGAUUAGAUACCCUGGUAGUCCACGCCCUAAACGAUGUCAACUAGCUGUUGGGGCCUUCGGGCCUUGGUAGGCGCAGCUAACGCGUGAAGUUGACCGCCU
rnacentral:rRNA from 1 species